rnacentral:rRNA from 1 species
UACGAAGGGGGCUAUCGUUGUUCGGAAUUACUGGGCGUAAAGCGCGCGUAGGCGGGCGUAUAAGUCAGGGGUGAAAUCCCGGGGCUCAACCUCGGAACUGCCUUUGAUACUGGUUGUCUCGAGACCGGGAGAGGUGAGUGGAAUUCCUAGUGUAGAGGUGAAAUUCGUAGAUAUUAGGAAGAACACCAGUGGCGAAGGCGGCUCACUGGUCCAGUUCUGACGCUGAGGUGCGAAAGCGUGGGGAGCAAACAGG